rnacentral:rRNA from 1 species
UACGGAGGGAGCUAGCGUUGUUCGGAAUUACUGGGCGUAAAGCGCACGUAGGCGGCUUUGUAAGUUAGAGGUGAAAGCCCGGGGCUCAACCCCGGAAUUGCCUUUAAGACUGCAUCGCUUGAAUCCAGGAGAGGUGAGUGGAAUUCCGAGUGUAGAGGUGAAAUUCGUAGAUAUUCGGAAGAACACCAGUGGCGAAGGGCGGCUCACUGGACUGGUAUUGACGCUGAGGUGGCGAAAAGCGUGGGGAGCAAACAGGG